rnacentral:misc_RNA from 1 species
CAAUAUUUAGCCCAAUUAUUUUACAUGGCAUGAUAGAUUUUUAUUCAUUAAAUUUAAUAUUUUUCCCCAUCAACUCUCAACAUUAGUUUCUGGCAAGGCGCUUGGAUUAAUAUCAGCAAAUGCAAGGAGCUCCGCAUCAUGCUCAAACACAGCCAUGUCGUUUUCUUCCAAAGUUACAAGAACUUCAAUCCCAUCUCCUUCUCUUGUAUCCAUCAAAGUGAUAACAUUCUUAACCCCACAACUAGCUGUGGUUACCCACUCUGGCUUUCCCCAUCCAAAAUCUGCUUUGUAGAAAGGAAACCUGCAAAAGCUGCUACACAAGUACACAUCCUGAUCCAUUCCAUGGCAGGAUCUGAACCCUGUCGAAGCCUCCAAUAUAAAUGAGCAAAGUUCUUUUGCACUCAUUUCUCUUCCGCAAGAAUUGCAGUAUUCAGUCUUUUCUUUCUUGAUCUUUCUUGCUAACCAAACCAAUUCUAUCUCACUGUCCUCCUCAGUUGACACAGGAAAUGUCCCGCUUAGAUUUCCUGAAGAGCUUUCUGGAAAUGGUGGAAAUACCCAAGCACGCAGAUUCGCUGCUUUAUGCAUGACAGUACUCUUUAAAGAGCCCGAACUUGCUCUAGUAGCAGAGAUUGCGCAUUUGUAUACAAGUGCCGUCACUACUUCAACUCGUGUAGGAUUUGGAACUUCCUUGGCUACAAUAGCCCUGAGUUUGGCUAUCUUUGAGGCAUUAAAAACAAGCCUCCUUGAAAUACAUUUCACUUUCUCAGGCUCAUAAAUUUCUAUGACAGGUAGAUCAAUUGGGGGAUAAAACGAUGCUAUCUUGAACUCAGGACACUUUUUUUCACCUGGCUUUCGGGCUAUAUCAGCCCAUUCAUUGAUGAAGUAACACAUGGCUGAAAUAUCCAAGAUCUUGUGAGAUAUGCAAAUGGCUACCGCUAUUCCCCCGCAAUCAAAGAAAGUGACCUGAACAAUCAUGAGACUACUCAAGAUUGGAUCUUUAUACUGCAGAUCAUCAGAGAACAUUAGCUUAAUUGUUUCAUCAUCAGGAUUUUUGAGGAUUUCAGACAAAUCGCAUGUGAUUUUCGCUUCCACAAAUUCGACCCCCAGAUCGUUACAAUUUAUUGUGACAUCGUUUCUGAUCCUGCCAGCUAGUGGGUAAUAUCCAGAUAAAGCAGCAGAUAAGGACUUCUUGAGCAGAGUGGAUUUCUGGGCAUUGUCAUCACUUGGCAAAUGAUGAUUGUACUGUUUCUGUUUGGGGUAGAAGAAAAUAAAUGGGACAUAGAUGCGAGAACAGAUCUGAUCAAAGAAAGAAAGGCUGUGAGUUGUUGGGUGAUCUGCAGGUGUUGUGGAGGAUGGUUUAAUGAUCUCAGUAGACACUCUCUCAGGCUUUAUUACUGGAAUCAUUUUCAGUAAUGCUUUGAAG